rnacentral:misc_RNA from 1 species
GAUGAAGAACGUAGCGAAAUGCGAUAAGUAAUGUGAAUUGCAGAAUUCAGUGAAUCAUCGAAUCUUUGAACGCACCUUGCGCUCCUUGGUAUUCCGAGGAGCAUGCCUGUUUGAGUGUCAUUAAAUUCUCAACCAUUAUCAACUUUUGCUGAUAAUGGCUUGGAUGUGGGGGGCUAUUUUGCUGGCUUCUCAGAUAGUCAGCUCCCCUUAAAUGCAUUAGCCGGUGCCCCGCGUGGACUGUCUAUUGGUGUGAUAAUUAUCUACGCUAUAGACAUCUGCAAUCAUAUGGGUUUGCGCUGCUUCUAACAGUCUGUUGAUUCAGACAAUACAUGACAAUUUGACCUCAAAUCAGGUAGGACUACCCGCUGAACUUAAGCAUAUCAAUAAGCGGAGGA